CCAAAACAAAAAAACCCACAACACCAACAAAAUCCCACAUUUGUGGUUCAUCUUGUAAAUAAGACCCAAAUUCCCACCUAAAUUCCUACGUUUGUGUAUAAUCUCUUCAUGAAUAAGACUCUAAUACCUAUAUUUUUCUUCCCUCUUCUCAUAAAAAGACCCAAAUUCCCACGUUUUUGUGUCUUCUCUUCCUAAAUAAGACCCAAAUUCCCACAUUCGUGUGUCCUCUUUGUAAAUAAGACCCAAAUUCCCACCCAGAUUCCCACAUUUGUGUGUCUUCUUCCUAAAUAAGACCCAAACACCCACAUUUUUGUACCCUCUCCUCACAAAAAGACCCAAAUCCCCACAAUUCUGUGUCCUUUCUUCUUAAACAAGACCCAGAUUCCCAUCUAAAUAUCCACAUCUGUGUGUCCUCUCUUCAGAAGACCCAAAUUCCCUCAUUUGUGUGUCCUCUCUUCAUAAAUGACCCAAAUUCCCUCAGUUGUGUGUCCUCUCUUCAUAAACAAGACCCAAAUUCCCUCAUUUGUGUGUCCUCUCUUCAUAAAUAAGACCCAAAUUCCCACAUUUGUGUGUCCUCUCUUCAUAAAUAAGACCCAAAUUCCCACAUUUGUGUGUCCUCUCUUCCCAAAUUCCCACAUGCAGGAGUGGGGUUGCAUUCAGAAAUCCCCCGGAUUGUCCCAUAUUACCACGCCAGCCCAACCUCCGUCCUUUACACCAUUUCAUGGCUCUGAGGGAUGGCAGGACGUGUGUUGGGACCGUGCUGCAGCUCCACGCCUGUUUUCUUUUGUAACUAGAAGAGAGAGGAUUUAUAUCUUUUUCCCAGCCAGCUUAUCCGUGGGAAAGCUGGUCUGAUGCAACUGCAGCAGCUUUGGUGUAGUUUGGGUGAGCUGCAUUCCUGCAGCAUAGCACGGCUCGCUCAGCAGCAAUGGGCACUGCAGGAAAACCCCACCGCCUGAGAUUGGAGCCGACCGUGGUGCCUGGCAGCCCCUGCUGGCCUCUGCCACGUCUGACUUUCAUCAUUUUUGGGGGGGGGGAGAAAUCUGUCUUCAAACAUAGGCAAACAUUCUCAUUUCUGACAAGAACUAAUGCUUUGUUUGGGCUUUGUGCAGCUGCGCUGUCACACCAACGUCGGCUCUCGGAGCAGGCAGCCCGAAUGCGCUUCUAUUUAUAGGAACCUGGUAUUUUUACAUUAAACUCUCUUUUGGCACAAAUCGAAACAGCUUUCUGCAGGGAUACUGAGAAGUAUUUGUAUCCUUUGGGUGCGUCCUCACCUCUCAGCUUGCACCAGCAGAACCGGAGGAGCAAGAAUGGCUGGGAAAGAAGAUAGAUGGGAGGAAAGCAGCCAGAAGCUGCAGUUUCCAACUCCCUCCCCUUCAAGAGGUUUAAUGGAGAUGGGAGCACUGCUUACCAGUUCUGGAGGAGGAGUGGGGUUGUUUCUUUUGUCCCACCUCUGUUGUCGCCACCUAUAAAAUAAAGAGCUCAGUGACCAUUGGAGAGGGGUUUUGUGCAAGAUGAGAUGCUGCUGUUUAAGGACAAAAGCAAAGCAGUCAGAGGAUAAGGGAGCGCUUAUCUUCCGUACGCUAUACAGAAAUCUUUCUUUUCUCAACUCUUUCCUUCAUGGAAAGAAGUGAAAAUCAAAGGAAGAGGUAAAGCAAGUAGGAGAAAAAAGGAAGAGCCGAUUGGAAGAAGUACAAGGUUAUGAAGAAAAUACCCUGAAGUUACACAGCAAUUUUCAUUUCGGAAUUUCUAUGGAAAAAAAUAAAUGCCAGAAUGGGUUAAAAACAAUGAAGCUCUAUCAGCCAUUUCCAGGUAAGAAGCAGCAGUGAGAGAACUCUGUUCCCAGCUCGGGACAUGGUUGGUUGCAUUCCUCUGCAUGGAUAGAAACCAUAGAAUCUCAGAAUCACUGAGGUUGGUGAACACCUCUCAGGUCCCCACGUCCAACCUCAGCCCAUCGUGCCCAACCCACCACAUCCCUCAGUGCCACAUCCCUAUGGUGCUGGGACAACCCCAGGGACGGUGACCCCAACCCUGGGCACCCCGAGAGCCUGGGGCAGGGAUUGCCGGUGGCUGGAGCACUCCUACCUUCGGAUGUACUCGGCAAUAUCGACCCUCUUGUACAGCAGGACGCCCAAAAUCAGGGUGAGAAGCAGCAGCGUUCCAAUAGCUUUUACCGUACCUCUGUACACUUGGAAAAGGAAACAAAGAACAUCACACUCUGCGCACACAAAACGUGCUGGUUUUGCUGCCAUUCCCCAGUGCACAAAGGGUCAGGAGCUCGUGUGCGCGCCCUAGGAAACCUCCCUGAUAACCUCAGUGGGAGCUACCAGUGUUCUUUUCUCUCUCAGAAGCAAGCAGAAGCCGUGAGGUGUUCAUCAAAGAGGGUAAAGUGAUGCUAAACAGACCUGGGAACAAUGAGGACCGCAUUGUAAGGAGGUUGGGGACAUCACACACAAGCAAGCCAGCUUCCCAGGGCGCACAGAGGAGGACACGCAGGUGAAGAAAGACCCAAACACAGCCAGAAGGGUGAGUGGUUUGAGCUGAACAUUGCUGAUGGUUGAGGCUCCAGUGUGUGGGGAGAGUGCGGAUAAAGAAAGGCGGGAGGCUGUUUGUAGGGAAGGUGUGAAAGGCUUUGCUCCUUCCAGCAUGCUGAAGAGCCAACACGGGGAUACCAGCUGCAGCCUAAGCAUCAGCCGUUCUCCGUGGAUUGAGGAGCUCAGCACGGCCCCUGGGGUCCCUUCGUCUCCAUGCAAAGUAGACCUGAAAGAGAAUGAACGUUUUACGGCAUGAAAAAUGCAGCAGCCAUUUGGUGGCCCCGGGGGGAUUGGCCUCCGGCACUUCAUCUCAGGACCAGCAGAGGAGGGCAGGACGGAAUCCACACCCCGAGGCAAAUUUGUCACUCUCCUUUGGCAGCCACCGUGGAAAUGUUUAACCUCUGUGGUGUGCAGGUGGCGGACGGGUGCCCCGGACACAGCUGUCACAAGCUGUGCGUUUGCUCUGUCGGUGACGUGAAGGCAGCAGGAGCUCCCCAUCCAUCCCUGCACCCUCUUGCAGUGACGAUGGUCCUGCAGAGAGAGGCUACAGACACAGCAGGAGGAGCUGACAGCGCACAGAGGGUGAGAGAUGGUUGCCUUUGCCUUUCUCCAGCUUAGCAGGAGUGCUUUCCGCGUGUCUCUGUCUGUUUUCAUCUCGACAUCAGAAAGCACUUUCGCAGCCUUUGCUGCUUGCCCUCCUUUUGUGGAUGCUGUAACUGUUUUCUGCCACAACGACGCAGCGUUUCACAAAUGUGUCCCAAAUGAAUUUGUCACCUUCGUGUGAUUCGAAAGGAAGAUAAAGACAGACAGAGGUGAUGGCAAAACUCUCCUUUAACAUCCACGCUGACACCCAGACAGAUCUGCUCCUGUGCAGGGAUAUCUGUCUGGAAAGAGGGGCAGGUACGGGUGGCAGCAUAAAUAAACCCCUGUGUGAGGAAAUUCUGCCAGUGUUGCUGCCUGAAACAUGGGUUUUAUGUAAGACUACAUCGAAACGUUGUACAAAAUCUGCCAUUUCGGUGGCAUUUGCAAGGAGAGCAAUGUUACAGAAUCGAGCAUGCAUUUUUCAGAUCUCUCCAACUCUGGCUGAUUUAGAUUCAGCAGCACUGACAGCUGCACUGAAGGAUGAAACGUUACAAUGUAGAAGUCACUUUUUGCAACGUUUGUGGGAACGAAGAAGAAAAAUGGCAGAGGAAGGCAAUGAACACUGAGAUAGAGGGCUGCGAGCUGUCGGAGCAGGAUCCGGGGGGAAGUCGUGUGUGGAAACCAAAAUAAUGUUUGUGCUGCUGAGCCAGGAGCCAUUCUGGACCUCUACGUUGCUUCGAAAGGCAAAUUUACAUUUCACAUACUCUACCCUUCAAAGGACAGUUAGAGGUUUUCUACCUACCCCUCUGCCAUGGCAUUUUUUCGCUGUACAAAUGCUGUUGAGAAAAGCUGCGCUGACACACGUCCUGUUGAUGCAUAUCUGCAGGAAGAGGCAGGUUGGUGUUAGGGACGAGGUACGGUGACAGCUGUUGGGAGAGGGCACUGACUGGUGAAGUAGGAUAAAAUUACAGUGUCUGUUCCUUUGUUCAGGGCUUUCCAUUCCCUCUCUCUAAAGGAGCGACAGGGGAAGGAAUAGGAGCAAAAAAAGGAAGGUCUUUGUGUUUCAAGUCUGAGACAAACCAAAGCGGAGGCUGAAGAAACCCAACCGAGCAUCACAACGCGCUACAAAAACCAGUUCUAUUUCAGGAGUCAUUCAUUUGCUGCAAAAAAACCCAGUCGUCUGGGUGAAGUUCCCCACGUGCCUGCUCUGCUCACACCCCUCCUUCAGUACCUGCCCAAGGCCAGGGAGGACGGAUGGGCUUUGGAUGGACCCCUCACAACCACCCUGAUCUUCAUAGGUCUGCGCUCAGUGAGUAACGUGGAGCAUCCUCGUACCUUCAGGAGGCACACGGAUGUCUCCUCUGGGCAGGAGGAGAUUUAUUUUCAGCUUUUGGCCUUGCAAAUGAAUUGGUUUUGCGAUGACUGUGGUGAGAGGCAUGGGACCCAUCUCUUCUGAAAGGGGAACUCUACCAAGAGCUCCUUCCCUUUGUGGAACUCAGCAUGUGUGUUUUUCUCAGAAACGUUCUCUGCCAUAUGGUAGCAAGAAAUGCUCCUUCAGUACGUCACAGCCUCGACAGGACUUUGGCAUUCUGAGUGCCUCACAGGGAAGAAACGCGUCCUAUUCUUGGAAGAACAUUUGCAGUGCUUUUGUCUGCACAGCAAACAAAGGUUGACUUUGAUUGGUUGCUUCCAAAGAAGCGGAGAAUCUUUUACUUCCCUCUUCUAAUGGAAAGACAGCCGUGUGCUGCCAGCAACAAAAGCUACGACCAUAUAGUGCUGUUUUUCAGCUGCUAAGGAGGCUUUAGCAGGAGGGGGCUGACAUCAGAGGUCACGAAUGUUUUCCUUAGGAUGAAAAUCCUUCCCUCUAAUCCCUGCUCUAUUCUAGCUAUCUGGGGGUACCUUGUUUGUACCACACGACGUGCCGUCCUUCACCAAGCCAUCGUCAGGCGUGUCGAAAGGCAGGUGGAACUCGAGCCCCCAGCAGAGCUGGUUGGUCAUGAAGGUCUGCACCACGGUCUCGCCGUCUUGCCGGACUGGCACUCUUUUGAUGUUAGUGCACUGCACUCUCCCACACAGGAUGUUCCUGAGAUGGACAGAGAGACAGACAGACAGACUGCAGGGACGUCAGAAGGCGCAGUGAUCCGUGCUACUGGCUGGUAUUGACACGGACCCUCCUGCCAGCUGGUGCUGGUGCCUUGGGACAGGCAGGCACAGCCCUUUGGGACCUUUCGAGAAGCUGCAGAGAUGCUUCCACUUGUUGUUUUGAGCCUUGCUUUUCAUACCUUUCUCCUAUUUUUUUAUAAAGCGUGAGAAAUAAUGAUAUUUAUGCUGGGAGGAUUUAGGUAUCGUUCUUCCGAAGCUCAUCUCUGUGGCCAAAGGUGGCAAGAGCGAAGCUCAAGUUCUGCUUGUGUAGUGCUCAGCAUGAAAAGCGGAGGUAAGCUGAAUGAUGAAUUUUCGUUCUGCUGUCUGCUCCAAUGACAGCAGUGUCCAAUUGUUGGUGAAACACCAAAGUGCAAGCGUGAAGAAAGGCAAGGUAGGCAAAGAACCAUCGAAUGGCUUGAGUUGGAAGGACCUUGAAGAUCAUCUGCUUCCAACCCCUCGCUGUGGGCAGAGGUAACACCCACUAACUGUGCAUAGGGAAAAUCCCCAAGGUAGGCAAACCUCCUUGGUCUCAAACCAUCAUCCCAAUCAAAUCCCACAGGACAGGGAUGGGAAGGAGAGUUUGGAGAGUGGUGUGCUGCAAGGCACAGCGCUGUGCAUGACAGUGUCCUCUCUAGAGGUGUCCUUCCAGAUGUGCUUUCGGGACAUACCGACUGAUGGCAGCUGCAAAUGGUGGCAGUGCUGAAAGGAAAUAGCACUAAAGGCGGAAAAAUAAAAAGGGGGGUUGGAGAACAACGUAUCAAACAGAAAAGGAAAACGCGGCCCGGCCAGUUGGCGGGAUGACCUCUUGGAGAAGGAAAGCUGGCAACCUAUUGUGCCCAAACCCCAACAACAAAUCAGGCUGAAUAUCUCUCAGAAAAAGGGUCCGAGUGCCUCUGCUACCGCACUGCUCACCCCUCCAGGCACUUGGUGUAGUGGGUGCCGUUCCAGCCGCAGUUCCCACUGCGGUCCCCUCGGAGGUUCACGUCCCUGAAGCAGCUCAGCGGGGCACGGUGGGCGGCUGCGGAGUGGGAGAAAGGAGGAGAUUGUUGUGGUGAGGCAACUGCUGAUGGUUUUUGUGGGUGUUCUAAAUGGCCCCAUGUAUUUUAUGGAUUCUUUUUUUUUUUUGUCUUGUUUUCCUCUUUUUGACUGUAAUGAAGUGGCUACGUGGAGAGAUUUGCUACAAGAGAAAAAUCGAUGGUCAGAGAAUGGACCAUGCUCAUUUGUCCGGAAUAAUCCGGUGUGGAAGAUUGGAAUAAAGACUGUAAAUCUCUCCAAAGCCUACUUCUUUUCUUUCUUUCUUUCUUUCUUUCUUUUUCUUUUUUUUCAUUAAAACAAACGUGCCAGUGCAUCUUAGAUUUACCCUGAAACCAGAAUCCCUACCGUUAUGCUCUGUAUUAACAGUAAGGAUUCUUGUCAGACGUCAGAAACAACUCCCAGAGUUGGGCUUCAGCAAGACAGAACCACUUCCAACCCAGGGAACCCCCCAGUUUUUUUCAGAACAUCCUCAUAUUCUCCAAGCGUUGCCUAUAUCAUGACAAACACUGCUGCCUUCGUGUGCAGGGGUUACAGCUCUGCAGAUUCCAAACUUCUUGUAGAUGUGGUAGAGCACGUAGGAAUGUGGUUUUAUUUGCAGAUUCGUGCUCAUAAUGAAACCUACAGCUCGAGUCCUGGUGGUCAUUGCUGCCGUCAGUGAGGAGGAAGUGCAGAGUACAUCUGCUGUGCCAUGGCCUUGGGACGGCACUUGGGGAAGUUGGGUACUUCCUGCAGAACUGAGAUAGCCUCAAAGAGGCUGUGGGCAGGCAUUACGCUUCAAGUUAAAACUUGGAGGAAAUGUAGAUGCACAAAUGCAGAGUGCUGCUGUUUUCAACUGCAUAAGAGGGGUUUCGGUGACUGUUUUCAUCGUGCAUUUAUUUCUGGUUCUUCUCUAGUGAGAAGUGCCAUUCCCUUGUCCCACUGAGUGUGAGAUGGACCUGAACAGCACUGCAACAGCUAACGCCUGAGGAAACCACAUUUCUGCUGCCCUAACUAUUGUGCUCAGCCCCAGGGCGCUCAGCCUGUCCCCACCAGGAGCUGCUCCACCAUCUCUGCACCCUCACUGGGCUCUCCCCAGCAGUUCCCUUUCUGCCUGGAGCUGGGGAGCCCAGCACUGGGUGCAGUGCUUCAGAUGUGGCCCCCCCAGGGCAGAGCAGAGGGAAAGAGCACCUCCCUGCCCUGCUGCCCACGCUCUGUGCACCUCAGGUGGCCUUCUUGGCCCCCAUGGCACACACUGAUAGUCUGUGCUCAACCUAUGGUCAGCUGUUGACCAACGAGGACACCAUUGGCCUUCUUGGCCACCAGGGAACACUGCUGCCUCAUGGCCAACCACUGAGCAACCACUGAUCGACCCUUGGUCCAAAAUAUUGCUCAGCUGUUGGUC